AAGGAAGGAAGGAAGGAAGGAAGGAAGGAAGGAAGGGGACAAUGGAGGCAGGAGUAACAGAGGGUUGGGUUGUCUAUUUGAGGCUGCCCACUGCUAAGCCUCGAGUUGAUUAAUGUAUCUGUGUUACAAGCUUUGUGAAUAAUUCUUCCAAGUGUUGGAGAGGAAGCGUGUGUGUCUCAGCUCUGUGAAGAAGGCUGCACAUUGUGUCAUCGGCUGUAGCCCAUCCACAGGAUUGCUCAUGUCCUGUGGUGAAGGGCAGAUAGGAAAGUGACUCACCUCACCUACGGCAGUGCUUCUGACUCACAUGAGAAUCACCUGGGAGCUUUUAAAAACUAUGGAUGCCGGGGCCUCAUGCCAGACAUUCUGAUGGGAUCUGUCUGGAGUGGGGGCCUGGGUGCAAGUAUAUUUUAAAAGGUCCCCAGGUACUUUGUAUAUGCAGCCAGGGCUGAGAACCACUGAUGCAGCCCUACAGAUUUUAUAUUUCAACAGACAUUUGUAAGACAAACAACUACCGUGAUGAUCUUUAAAUGAUCUUUUCAGAAGCACAUCAGAGCCCCAUUAUAGCUGCUUCUAAAGGAUGCUAGUGAAUAGGGGAUUUUGACUGUGAUAUUAAUUUGCCUCCUUAGUGCUCUCCUUUGAUCAGAAGCUACUCUAUUUUGGGACCACGGAGCACAUCUGUUGGGACCCGUGAGAAUCUCGAGGGGGAAGAAAAGAGUGUCUGGUGGAGCUAGACUAGGAGAGUAGCAGUACACAGGCUCAGCAGUAAAUUCACAGCAUUUUACAAGAAGAUGAAAAGUGAAAAUCAUAUGAAAAGUAGUCAUCGUACACUAGCAGCAACCAACUCUGCAACUUAAUGGCCAACUCCUUAGAGCCAGAGGUAACAAAAAGAAGAUUGGACGAAGCAGGACACAUACAAAGCCCUGGAUUCCAAUCCAGCCUCGCCACUGGCCCGCUCUGUGGUUCUGGGCACAUGUCACAGCUCUGGAACUUUGCUUGCCUGUCUGCAACCUGAGUUGGUAGGGCUGUCUCUGACACCCUUUGAUUUAUGUUGUCCCAAAACACAAAAACGUGUGAACCCAGCAAUACAGGCUUAGGCAGCCACCCAAAGAGAUGGGUUUUGUUUGCUGGCUAAGAUUAGGCAGCAAAUAACCUUUUUGUCACAACGCCUGGCAAGGAUGAAAACAUUUAAGCGAAAGACGUGAAAUGGAAGAAUUUGUGCCGUGUGUGUGGCUAAGUUCGCACGUCAGUGUGUGUGCAGAAGGUUAGAGCAAGGGGAAGAGCCACACCACUAGUCCAAGCUGCUUAAGGAUGUGUACCAUCCUGAUUGAUAAUAAAGAGAAUCACAGAAAGUGUGUGUGUGUGUGUGUGUGUGUGUGUGUGUGUGUGUGGCAGGAGGAGCAGAGUGGAGGAUUAGUAGGGGAAAAACCAUUUAUCUCAUCAUAGGUACACUUUCACUUGCUAUUUUGGUAAAUUUCCUAGGGUGUGAUAUAUUUUUCACACAUGUUUGUAAUGUGACUGACUAUUGUCACCAUCUCCUGCUGUGUCACAAUUGUUCCUAACUCAAGGACAUUCUCUAUUCAAAUUGUAAAGUUAUCCCUGAGCACGUUGUGUUAUUAUGUUGCUAAGCUCUUGGCCUUAUUUUAUUUUAAAUGAAUCUAAUGCAGUAGCUGACAUGUUUGUUAUACAGAUAUUAUAUUUAAUAUGCACUUCAUGUGUAUUAAAAGUGUGUAAUACAAAAUAUUUCUGACUUUACAUUAUAGCAUUGAUGACUCUGCAUUCUAAAAUUGGUAGCAUGCUUCUUGAAUCAUAUAAGGAAUAUUUUCUAGAAAGAAGUAAAUUACUUAAGGUUUGGAUGGGCGAAAAAAGUAGUUCGCACUUUCUUUAAUACUUUUCAUUAAAAGAAGUUUUUGUUCAUAUGUAGUUAUUGCAAGAUGAACGUGCUGGUUCCUGGUAAUGUUCUCAUUCCUGCACCCCGCAGCCCCGCCCAUCUCAUCAAUGCGUAUUUAUUUAGUAGCUAAAAGCAUCAUCCUCAAUUGAAUGGAGGGUGUUUCAGAUCAAGGCACUGGUUAUCUAAUAAUCAAAAGGAUGGUUGACUUUCCUACUGUGCCAUCCUAAAAAAAAAAAAAAUCAGUGCAUAUUUUGGAGAUUAGAGUGAUCCAUCAUGCAUAGAAACUCUUCAUUAUUACUCUACAAACUUCUAAAAAAUAGGUGUUGUGGAUCCAGAAAGAAAUGUGUUGUAGACUAAGAAUUGCAUCUGAGUGUAAAAGAAAAAAAAAAUAAGUCUGUUCUCUUGUAACACUGUUUAAGAUUUAUAUAGAAUUAAGCUUUUUCCUUUGUUUGAAGAGAACAAUAGCACAACUCUCUGUUGGGGAUGAUUUAUCUCUUGCUAAACCGCCCUAACUGUUUAUGACAGCAAAAAGACAGGUAUCAUUAACCUUAGGUGUUGACAAUUUAGAAUUCAUGAGAAUGAGUUGGAAACACGAUAGACGGGUCCCACCCCUGAGUUUGUGGAAAGCAGAUGAAUCCUAUGAACUAUUGCCACUGAAGCCUUUCGUUACCACAAAAGAGUUCCCCUCAAAUUUUCAUAGAGGGUAUUUGGUUUUUAAAUGUCCCUUCUCUCUGAAGUGGAAGUGGAAACUGUUUUUAGGAAAAAUGGAUCUAUAUUGCAAUCCAAGUAUUUGCCAAGGUCCUAGAAUCAAGUUUAUUUGUAAAUCCAUAAUUUACUGAACCAUUUUACCUUUCUUGUAAGUGAUUCAUGUAUAAAUUAGUGAUGAAUUCCUGAUUAAUUUAUUUUUGCUGCUGUUCUUGGAUUUUAAAAGCUUGCAUUCCUCAAGAUCACCCUCUUCAUAAAUACCUUCAAUAAAUUUCAGCACAGAACGAUGGCUCACGCUCUUUUCUCCUUUACAGGAUGGUCUAAUCGGGCAUUCUAAGGCAAAUCAGAAUUCGGUGACCCCAAAAAUGUACCAGAUUAAAACCUACCAAUAAAAAAUAAGGUGUUGCUGGAGAAAAUACUCUGCAGCUCUUUUUUGCUUUAGGCAUACAUAACAACAACAUGAAUUUAGGGUAGGAUCUGGUCUUAGUGCAGCAUGCAUUAAUUCACAUUUUGAGGUCUUUUACAUAUAUUCAUUUUCCUAUGGGCCUAUUGCUGUACUACAUUAGAUCUACUUAAAAUCUAUUGAGAGUAUUGAUUUUUUUUUCUUCAGAAAAAUCAACGCAGUGAGAUGGUCUCUCUCCUCUUAUAAAGCCCAUUAGAGAAAGCCAGAAUUGUGUUGACAUAAAAGAAGAAUGCUUCCUAAUGUACAUGACUUAUUGCCGUGGUUCAGAGGACUCAGCUCUCAUUCAAAUCUAAUUAACCGAUUUUGUCCAGCUUGUGCUCCAGUCUCUGCAAGGUGAUCACA